rnacentral:tRNA from 1 species
GGGAUAUAACUCAGUGGCAGAGUGCUUACCUAGUACGCAUAAGAGACCUGGGUUCAAUCUCUAGUACCACCA